ensembl:processed_transcript
UUUCAUCAUUGUUUAUUCCAAUGAGACACUGAAAUGGCCAGGAAAAACAAUCUUAGAAUGGCAGACAGAUAUAAGGGCUGCUGUAAUCGCUGCAAAAGGUGCAUCAACAAACUAUUGAGCAAAGGCUGUGAAUACUGAUGUACGUGUGACAUUUCAGGUUUUUAUUUGUAAUAAAUUUGCAACAAUUUCAAAACCUUUUUUUUUUGCAUUGUCAUUAUAGGGUAUUGUUUGUAGAAUUUUGAGGAAAUAAAUGAGUUUAAUCCAUUUUGGAAUAAGGCUGUAACAUAAAAAAAUGUGGAAUAAGUGAAGCGCUAUACUUUCCGCAUGCACUGUAUACUCAACAACUUCAAAUCUUUUAUGCAGCCCUAGUCACAGCUAAUGUACUGAAAUACUUCACUCACCAUCAAUGCGUUGCACACGAUAAGCCCAAUAUGAUUGAAGAUUUGAGUGCUCUCGUUUUGAUCUUGAUCAGCUGAAUCAAUGGUAAGAUUUGGC